GACCAAGGAAAUCAAAGCAGCGGAAGUUACAUCAUCAAAAGCCAAAGAAAAAAAGGAGACUGUCCUGGCAGUCAGAGAAAAAAUUGAUCAUAAAGAAUCUUAUCCCCCCUUAUUUUUGGAACCGACCUCGGCAAUCACAGCUCUUCUCCCAGCUGCUGAAGUGGGAAAGCUUAACGUGACAGCUACAAAAAAAGUGGAAAAAGGAAAAAAAGCUGU